GGUUCAUUACCAUAUUUAGAUUGCAAAUCUAAAUAAGCUUUAAAAAGCAUGAACUU
rnacentral:tRNA from 1 species